rnacentral:lncRNA from 1 species
AUCUCUCCCCAGAAACAAACCCAAAUCUUACCAUAUGUUAUGGCAUGCUGUGAUGAUGAACAGCGACGAGCAGCCAAAGCCUCAAGGCAGGGAGGCUUUUGUAAAGCAAGACUUGUAGAAUGUAACAUGUGAAAGAAAAGCCCAUAGCAGAGCUCCCUCCUCAGCACACGGGGAGCAGACAGGAAGCUUUUGCCUCACCUUCCUCAAUAGCCUGCAGCCACAUCUCCCCAGGUCAGUCUUAAGGACAACAAAACUCUGGUCUUCAAGGUGGACACGCUACUAGGUGCUCCAAAGCCAUGGUGCCUCACUCUCAGCAAUGAGGAUCUUAUAGAUGGUCCCUCCUUCCGUCUGGAUUCCUGUGUUAGGAUGAUACAGCACAGAGCUACCUCUCACCUGACCCAUGAUGAGAUGUAUAUAAAUGAGGAAGAAGAUUUUUGAGCCACUGAAAUUUGGAGGUUGUCUGUCACCACAGUUUAACCUAGCUCCCAUUGACUGAUGCAAGGCUGAAGAAUGAGUCCAAACUGGAUCUGGACAAGACAUGUGAAGAGCACUCCAGUCGGUGGUUUUGCAGCAACAGCAUUGCAUGUGGGUUUUAGGCUGAUGAUGCUCAACAGUGGACAAUUCUCUUCACCUGCCUGGGCCCCACUGCCCACCCUUCCAUACAGUGCAGGGUCACAGCUGAGCUCUCCAAGACACCUUGCAGGAUCUCAGCUUCUGAACUGUCAAGUGUCUUCUAGAUGAAGGCUUAGUCUCAUAGCCUUUGUGGCUUCCUCCAGAUUUUCACUUCUCUUGGUUGAAAACUUAGGAGGAGGGGCGGAGCAAGAUGGCCGAAUAGGAACAGCUCCAGUCUCCAACUCCCAGCGCGAGCGACACAGAAGACCGGUGAUUUCUGCAUUUUCAACUGAGAAAUCCUUGAAUGAAUCACAAAAGGGAUUGGUACUUACCUGGUGUGAAGCAGAGCUGAGCCAAAGGAUGAAGCAAUAUUGCAAUGGACUCUGUCAUUGAUAUCACUAGUUCGCAAAUCUUUUACCACUAUGGUCAAAUUUUUAUAUUCACUUUAAAAUUAUAACUCAUCUGCUCAUUGUAUUCAAGGCAACAUCUACCCUAAAAUGUACUCAGGCAUUAAUUUAUGCUUUUCUGUUUACAAAUGAGAAUUCAUAAGCAAAUUGAGGUAGCAAUUACAUUGAUGUAGCAAUUACAAAACUGAAGGCAAAACAGAAGACAUAUACACAUACAUCAGUGAAACAAAACAAAGAGCCCAGAAACACACUGAAAUACAGCCAGCUGAUCUCUGACAAAGGAGUAAAGGCAAUUCAAUGGAGAGAGGAGAGUCUUUUUAACAAACAGUGCUGGAACAAAUGGACAUCCAUGUGCAAAAAAAAAAAAAAAAAAAAAAAAAA